GCUGGUGUGGCUCAGCCGGUAGAGCAGCUGAUUCGUAAUCAGCAGGUCAGGAGUUCGAGUCUCCUCAGUAGCUCCA
rnacentral:tRNA from 1 species